rnacentral:lncRNA from 1 species
ACAACUUAAAAUAGUUCAUCAUACUAUGAUUCAUAACGUUUCAAACUCAUUUCAACUAAAUAAAAUAAAUUCAUUUCACUCAAAUAAUCAACAUGGCUUAUGAAUUUCUUAGAAACUUGGCUCAUGCCAAAACUCAUUCUCGGGGAUACCUUGAUCAGAGGCAUCCAACCGAGUCCGCCAAGGCUGUUAAAGAAAAGACAUAUAUCCAUAAAUCAUAUUUGUACGUUUUAAAACAUAGUUGUUCCUUGGCGUUGGUUGAGUUCACCCUCACGUGGUGGUUUAGCGUGUAGUGAACUCUAAAGCUUUACCUCAGGAGUUACCCUCCGCGCCUCUCGUACCAAGGUAAAAUAUAACGGGGUUUACCGUGCCCCUCUAAUAGGCUAGUCCACAGAAACCCGCCCACUGCAGUAAGCUAAUCGAUAUCCCACCAAAUCAAUAAAA